GGUGCUGCUCUGUGUGCUUUAGUGGUAGAGAACCUGCUUUGCAUGCAGAAGGUCCUGGGUUCAAUAUCCUGCAUUGCCA